CCCUCUCACCAGGACUCGGCUGCUGGCGCUAAUCCGCGUAUCCUGAACAAAUGGAUUGGGCACAGGCGGCGGGAAGAAGGAUGCUUGACGGGGAACCAUGGGCGGCCGCAAGCCAGGUGCCCCAGAGUCCCUGACCCCCGCCCCAGGCAAGGUCGCCGCCACUGCGGCGGCCUCCGCGCAUCCGCUCAUGCUGGGCCAGAGCGGCCUCUUCCACUCUCCAAGGGGUAACAAGCAGGAGCCCCAAAGACAGUUCCGGGCCCCCACUGCGCAGGCUGACCGGUCCACUCCCUACCUAUGCUGGUUCCGCCCCUCCCCUCCCUGCCUUUCUCCCACGAAUGAGGGCGGGAUCCCUCCUGCAGAGAUUGGCCCGCUUCCCCCGGAUUGGCCCCGCCUUUUUCAGUGCCUCCGUCCCCUGGGCGAAUGCUUCCACCUUUUGCUCCAGAGGAAGGUUGAUUAUGGAGGAUAAGGAGAAUUACACAUUUCCUUAGAAAACAGCCUUCCUCGCAGAGAAUGUUCCUUGGAAAACGUCUGCCGUAAGACAGUGAGGAACAAGAUUAUCUGAUUAGGAAUGCCUUUCUACUAGAAGUCAAGAAGCAACUGGUUGAUGAAGCACAUGUGUGACCCACCAAGUCUGACCCUCCUCAACUCAUGUCUAGACUAUAGCAAAAGCCUUCUGGUUGGCCUCCCUGCCUCGAGUUUUUCCUCAUUCCAGUCCAUCCUCCACUCACCUAUCAGUGAUCUUCAUAAAUUGCAGGUCUGAUCAUGUUACACACCCCACCCCCAAACUUAGUAACUGGCCCACAAAUGUUUAUCACUUCAUUGAUUAUGAAUAAAUGUUUAUUGAUUCAUAGACUUGAGGCUGAGUUCUGCAGAACUCAAUGUAGAGGGUCUUGGGCACAUUCUCUAUAACUACAUCUCUCCACAGGUUAACUGCACAGUUAAUAUUUUUCCAAAGAGCAUUGUCAGGAAUAGUAUCCUGAGACAGAAAUGAAAGAAGCUGAUUUGUGUAGUGGAUGAAGAACUGCAUUUGGAGUCAGGGGACAGGAAUUUUAUUAUUGCUACAUUUUUGUCCUGAGCAAGUCACUUCUUGGUAUCUCUGAGCCUAAGCUUUCUAUCUCUCCCUACACUAAAGAGGUUGAACUCAAUGUCCUCUAAAGUUAUUUCCAUCUCUAAAUCCCCUGAUCCUAAUCUGUCUACUGGGCAGGGGAUUUUUCCCCUACCUGCUUUGUAUAUUCAUUCUUGUCCCUAAUUCCACCCAGUUCUGGCUACAUUCAGCUGGCCUCUAUAGCUUCCUCUUUCCCAACAUCUGGAACUUGUUGGGGGGAAGGUGGCAUAGGAUUGGGGGUGAGACAGUGAAGAAAAAGGAAGCAUUAACAUAAGGCGUCUUGAGAACACUGCACUAAACUGUCAGCUAACUGAUAAACACCAAGGCAGGCAAGCCAGCCUUUCUGAAGUAGCAGAGCAUUCUGAGGAAGAGAUAAGAGGCAAUGUCACAGGCAAAUCAAACCACCAACAACUUGACCACCAUCACCCCUCAGUCCCUAACAGAGACAGCCAGGACCUUGAACCCCAAAACUUUUGAUAGAGUGAUAUUUCCAGCCUGAUACCCUCAGCUGUCAUCCUGGGACCCCUAUGGAAAUGAAGCUUGGGAAUUGCUCCUACAGAUGCUGUAGACACAUUUUCAAAGAUCCAAAAAAGAAAUUUAUGUCACCAAAAUCCUUGGUACUUCUCAAAUGAUUCAUCAUCAAAAAUUGAUAUGAUUUUAUCAGUUGAGAUGACACAAAAGAAGAAGCAUUACCAUUGACUUUGUUGUUUCACUCUAAGGACCAUGGAGCUUUUGGUCUGACUUACAACUGAAACCAUCUGUAUAUAUGGUUGCACAUUAGAAUGUGAGCUCCUCAGAGCAGAUUGCCUUGUUUUUCUGUUUGUAUCACAGGCACUUAACAUAGUGCUUUGUAUAUAGUAUUUAAUAAAUGCUAUAUUCAUUA